AGCUCCAAUAGCGUAUAUUAAAGUUGUUGCGGUUAAAAAGCUCGUAGUCCGAGCUCAGUUCCGGACUGGCCGGGGAGGUCACCUCACGGUGCCUUGCCUGCGCCAGGCUCCGAACCAAGGCCCCUGUUUGCGCAGGGGUCGAACGCCGGUUCUCGCCGGGGUGCUCUUGACCGAGUGUCCUACGCGGCCGGCCAGUUCACCUUGAAUAAAGGAGAGUGCUCAAAGCAGGCUACUCUAAGAUUGUUAAGCCCGAAUGUUACCUGCAUGGAAUGAUGUAACAUGAUCUCGGUUCCAUUUCGACUGGCUUUGGGAACCCGAGGUAAUGAUAAACAGAGACUGUCGGGGGCAUCCGUACUACGACGCGAGAGGUGAAAUUCAGUGACCGUCGUAGGACGAACAA
rnacentral:rRNA from 1 species